GCUGCAGUGGUUAAGCAUUCGGCUGCUAACUGAAAGGCUGGUGGUUCGAAUCCACU
rnacentral:tRNA from 1 species